rnacentral:lncRNA from 1 species
GUAUAUGUUAAGGCUUGCAAACUAUUAAUCUUUAGAAGCGAGAUUCUUGGACACUGUGCACUGGAAGCCAUCCAUGAAAGCUACAAAACUUGAUAAUCAGCAUGCUCAAACUAUUUGAGUAUCUAUACUUGCAUUAGAAAGUAGCAUGGAAUCAUACAGUCAUGCCUUCCCGAUUACCAUGAAACAGGCAACAGAUUUAUUUCCCCCUUUUCCCAAGCAUGCAACCUAAUGCUCUUAAGUCCGCCUACAGAUAAGAAGAAAUGUUGUUCUCAUUUAUGUAUUUUGCAGUGAAUCUCAGACAGAAGGACAGCUAGCAUCUUUUCAAACACAACCAUGCUGCUGACCUCCUUGCUUUCAGUACUGCUGCAAACAAGCCAAGUACCAGGCUGCUCAGACUCAGCUUGGCAUUUUAAAGGGCUGAUUGAGCUCAAGCUCGAGCCAAGCUUAACACAAGCUCUUCAGGCUUGGCUCAUAUAGGCUUUAAGCCAAGCUUCUUCUUCUUCUUCUUCUUCUUUCUUUUUUUUUAAAUAUCAAGCCAAGGCGAGCUCUUCCUUUCUUAUUUUCAAGUCAAUUAUGUUCAGGUUCAGCUCAUUUAUGAGUUGAGCUCUGAAACAUGUUCAAACUCAGCUUGUUUUCUAAUUGAGCUGGGCUCAAACCAGACGCUACUGGAACCAAACUCAUGAGCAGUUCAGAUAGUUUGCAGCCCUGUCUUUGAGAAAAACAAAGGGCUGAAGAGUACACCAACAAUUUGUGGCUUGUUUACAAACCAAGCUCUUUUAAUUGCCUCUCCAAAAAUAAACAUCAACUUCAACACAUGGUAUCACAACAGUCAGCAUUGAAACAAAAGUUCUCUGUGUAUACAAAACUACCAGCCGCUCCCUCAUUCUGUUGGGGAAACCAAAAAGCCCCAAACCAGAAACAAAGUUGCAAAAAACAGACAUCUAUCACUGCACUGGGAAGAUGGAACACACAAGGAGUAAUAGACACAACCUCUAAAAUGAUUGCUUGCCUUGAAACAUUACAUCAUUAUCAAAUAAAAUUUGGCUCGAAACCUAUUUAGUGCAAAUAAGGAUGUAGAAGACG